rnacentral:ncRNA from 14 species
AUUCAGCUCUGAGGGCGUGAAGCUUGAUCUGAGAAAUACCGGAGAACUUGAUCUGGAUAAUACCAGCGAAAGGACAUGCCUUCUUUGACAU